rnacentral:lncRNA from 1 species
UUGGGCAUGUGUUGCAUUUUUGUUGUGUAUAUAGUGGUUGGUAUAAAUAUUUUUGUUGUUUUCGAAUCCCCUUGGGCAUGUGUUGCAUUUUUGUUGUAUAUAUAGUAGUUGGUAUAAAUAUAAAUAUUUUUGUUGUGUAUAUAGUGGUUGGUAUAAAUAUAAAUAUUUUUGUUGUGUAUAUAGUGGUUGAUAUAAAUAUAAAUAUUUUUGUAAAUAAUAUAAAAGACAAAAAAAAUGAAAAAUAAAAAAAUUAAUUUUUAUAUAACCGUUAAUUUUUGUUGUAUAUAGU